CAACACGGGGCCUUCACGGCAGAAUCCCUGGGUGCCUUGAGCUGAGCUGUGACGGGGCUGUGCUGUGAUGGGGCUGCCGAGUCUUACUCAUCCCUCCACCACCACCACCAUGUGUUCUUGGCUCUGGAGCCUCCUUUUUGUUAGUAAAAUUUCAUUUAUUUAGAACAAUUCAAGGUCAGCAGCCGAACUGAGACGGGUGUACAGAGCGUUCCCAUCUGCCCGCGCCCGGUUUUCCCAAGGAUUUCAGCGUCUCACGUCCGUGUGGGGCCCUGGUUACAAUUCAUCAGCCAAGACCCCACCUUAGGAACUCAAGUCCGCACUAUUCAGAGUCCCUUAGUUCGUCCCCUAAUGUCCUGCUGUGGCCCCAGGACCCCAUCCAGGAGCCCACAUGACGCUCGGGCAUCACAUCUCCUUGGGCCCCUCUGGGCUGGGGGGGCUCCUCAGACUUUCCUUGUUUGGGGUGAACUUCACAGGUUUCUGUUUGUUUGUUGUUUGGCCUUUUUAAGGCCAUAUGUGCAGCAUAUGGAGGUUCCCAGGCUCGAGGUUGAAUCAGAGCCACAGCAGCCGGCCUACACCGCAGCCACAGCAACACAGGAUCCAAGCCCCUUCUGCAACCUACACCACAGCUGACGGCAACGCCAGAUCCUUCACCCACUGAGCGAGGCCAGGGAUCCAACCUGCGUCCUCGUGGGUAUGCGUCGGGUCUGUUACCGCUGAGCCACUACGGGAACUCCCGAACUUAGCAGUUUUGAGGAGGGCUGGCCAGGUUUUGGUGGCGUGCCCCUUAGGUGGGGUUUGCCUGGUGUGUUUCUCGUGGUUCGUCCGGCUGGGCGUUGGGUUUUGGGGGAGACCACAGAGGGGAGGAGGGUCCCUCUCACCCCGACGCAUCGCGGCUGCGUGCCGUCGCCAGGGUCUGUCACCGGCCACGCGGAGCUUGGAGGUCGUGUCUCCCCGGAGCCCCUUUCCCUUCUCUGCUCUGGUCUCCUGGCCCCUUCAUGGGGGCCGCCCAUAUGGAACCACGCACCUCAGCGAUGCCCAGCUAAUUCGAGCCUGGGACACCGUAGGUGCCUCAUUAACCGUCUCUGAACGGAAAGGAGCAGGGAAAUCAACCCUGCGCUGUUGGCCUCGUUAGGAAUGAGGUUCUCCCUUGAUUGGAAUCCGACCCUCGGCUUGUGGUCUAAUCAAGCUCAGCUGCUCCCUCCAGCCUGGAUGGCUGGCUCGGCUCCCUCAUGGCCUGGGGGGCUCCCACGGUCCCCCACUCCCAGCCUCUGCCCCCCACCAGGAGGGUACCCCCAGCCAGAGGGGCUACCAGCUCCCCCACAAACGCCCUAUUUUGAACCCCACGGAGACCUCAAAAUCACCCCAGCACAGAAAGACCCACAACAAUAGAACAGCAAGGGAGGGUUGUGGUCGUGGCUGUCCCCAGCCCCUCCCCGCUCGGCCUCAGGGGCCGGGUCUCUGGAACAUUCCACCCCUACCCCACUCUGGCUGCUUUUGUCUGCUGGUCUGGUGUCCAUCAAAGCCACGAGCAGCCUUGGAGCCUGCAGGAGGUGGCACCCUGCCCUAGCGACUGUCCCCACCCUGCAGAGAGGUAAACUGAGACGCAGAGAGGGACACGCCCUACAUCACGUCCCACAGUGCCCCGUGGAAAGGUGGACUCGAACCCCAGCCCAGCUGCGAAGCACACCGCCUCCCAGUGACUGGGGGCCCCUCUGUUCCAUGACCCAGCAAAAGCCGGUCAAGUGGACAGUGGAAGGGGCUUGGCCAGGUCCCAGCGAGCCAGCCACCCGGCCUGGGCAGGUCUGGGCAGGUGGGGGCAGUCUUGUCCCUCAGGUGGUGUGGGCAGAAGCCUCCACCUCCCUCUUCCAGGCGGGGAGGGGCUUGGCAUGGGGGGGUCCCCAAACUCUGCUUCUUAUUCGCAAGACCUAGGGGGGCUGUUGGAAGGCACGGUUGGGGAGACCCUGGCCAGCCUCACACUCAGGAGCAGGGGGGAAAGCUGGCUGCUGAGUCAGGAAAGCGGGGGUCCUGACAAACACCCGGAGGCUGCCCCCCGCUCUCACCUUCUGUGGCUCCCUACUUCCCCCGAGGGUCCGGAUUCUUUAUAAGGCCUGGCAGGUGCGCAAGCGCUGCCUGAGGCCCUCGUCAGCCCCCUGACAGCCCCUACCUGCUGUCACGCGGCCUCCACCCUGUCACACCGGCUACGCCUCUGCAGGGCCAUCCCCACGGGGAUUCUGGUUGCUGCCUCGGGACCCCAAAAUGUCCCUACUUUGAUCAUCGUGUCCAUGCAGUUUUUCAAAAGUCCCUCCCAAACAGGGACCGUGUGAAGGCUGCCUAGACCUUGUCAGCUGUUUGGAUCCUUAACCCACUGAGUGAUGCCGGGGAUCGAACCUGUGUCCUUACAGACAUCAAUCAGGUUCAUUACCACUGAGCCACCACGGGAAUUCCCUGAAUUUCAUCUUGAGGCACAUGAACCCUGAGGUCAGCAUCACGGGAUACGGCCCGAAGCAGAUACCUUAGUUUUCUUCUAGCAAAAUUCACAGCUUCCUGUUUCCCAGAUAAAAGACUGAGGCCAGUCAGAUCGGGGACAGAGUUGGUUUUGAUGAGCUUUGUAUGAAUAAAUCAGAAACAGGCGGAGGAAAUACCCUGCAGCCUGCCCACGCCGCCAGGGCUGAAAACCCAGGGGAAACGCAUCAAGGGCAGAAGCCCGGGCCAACCCCAGUUCCAGCACCAAGCUCCCUGGGGACCCCACAGGCCGAACACAUUCCUGGGAUCCAGCAGCUGGCGGGGCGGGGUCCAGGGCGGGAGAGUGUGCGGCCAAUCAGGUGCCUGGGGAUGAGUCACCCUCAGAGGCAACACCGGGGAGCUCGAGGCCGGAGCCAAGAUCAGCGCGGCCGCAGCCCAGACCCUCUCCUGCAAGUCUGCCCGGGCCUCGCUUUACCUGCCCGUCAAGUGGGAGCACUUGCUGGAAUGGCCCCAGUGGGGCCACAGAGGCGGCCAGUCUCAGCAGCGCGGGCGUGCGUGCUCUGCGGGGAACGUUGGGGUCACCUACUUUGCACAGGUCGGGUACUAAGAGUAUCCGACUCCCAGCCACUGGCCACAAACCUGUUUUCCCUCCGUCCCGGUGACUCAGAGACUUGGAAACCGGGCAACUUGUAGCUGCGCCUGUUGGCAUUGCCCAGAGCGGAUGCCCCUCGAACCUCCUGGGUGCCCCCCCAACACCCCCCUCGGGCAGGGCGAGCCCGAAGCCAGCUGGCAAACACAUCGGCUCCCCAGGCCUGGCUGAGACGGGCACCCCGCUUUCAGGCUGGGUCACAGGUCCAGCAACUGUGUACAGGCUGGGGUGGGGGUGCUUCCACAGCACCAGGGAAGUGGGCAACGGAGGAGAAGAGAAGGAGGGAGGGUGCCGGGGGACCAGGGAAGGAGCCAGGGCCCAAGGGUGCUGAGCAGGCAGGAAAAGGGCGGGAAGCCCAGAGACAGGUCUGACCCAGAACCACAGCCCCCGCCACUCAGGGUGCCAGGCACACUCCUGACCCACCCACCCCCCCCAAGCCCAACUCCCCAGUUUCCAGUGAGGGCAGCGGGGGUCGGGGAGAGGCCUCAGAGAGGAGAGUUACAGCCCAGGAGCAGGGAGCUGGGCUCCCCCAGAAGGUCCCCCAGGGCUGGCACGGAAGUCCCUGGGAUGCAUGAGGACUCGUCCCCAGACACUGGGAACAAGGGCCACCAGCACCCAGGGCCCCGCCAGCCCCAGGGGCCUGGGUCGCCCACCUGGAGGGACAGGGCCGGGGGUGAAGGGACGGGGGGGGCUCGACAGUGAGGGGUGGCAGCCUCUCAUCCGUGGCAGGUUUGCACUCCCACCUGCCAGGGCUCCAGAACUCUCCUUACUCUGAAGGAUUCCCUGAGGCCCCAGGGCCACCGCAGAUGCCAUCAGGGUGGCAUCGGCUGUUCACUCACGUAUGUUGACAUCAGCAGGUGGCCCCCCACGGCUUCCAGCCUCGGCCUCUGAACCCCCUUUAACCCCCGCAGCCCAAGCCUCCAUCCCAUUUCACACCCCAGGAAACCGGGGCCUCCGCACACCCAGGCCCUGCAGAUGCAAGGGUCCCAUGCCCCACCCUCGCUCGGCCUGGAGAUGCACCUUCGCCCUCAUCGUGGGGCUGAGACUUGGUUCCAGGCACCUCCCUGCUGAGAGGCAAACCCUCAGACUUGGGCCCUCAGCGCCCCUCUCCCUGCUGCUUUAGGCCAGAGCCUCAGGCCUGCGGGCGGCAUCCCUCAGAGCACCUGCCUCUCCAGGCUGGGGCAUCAGGCCUCCAAUAACAAAGUCAUCAAAAGUUUCUCUCUCGAACCAGAGCACCCUCCUCUUCCGCCACGUUUCCUUUUCACUCUGGCUGCCCGGAGGCUCAGCACCGCAUUCAGGGCGCACCGCACCGCCUCUGCUUGCUUCUCCACCCAGCCCUGCCCUCUGGGGUCGGCUGUGCUGGCCCAUCCCCUGUCUGUCUUCUUUGAUAUGCAUGAGUCCCUGGCAAACCUCCUUGGACCUGGGCCCUCAGACCUUGAACUUGCUCUGCUGAAGCUUGCAGCAGUGGCGCUGUCUCCACCAAGGCUGAUGUCCAAACAGGCCACGCGUGGGCUCAGCGGGCAGUAGGUCCUAAGGAUGCAGGCCUGGGGGAAAGGAGGGGUGAAGGGAGAGGACAGGGAGUGCCCAGCGCCCUUGCCGACGAGGCUUGCUGGAUGUCCGUGGGAGGUUGUUGCAAAGGCUAGAAACCGGAGGGGCUGGAGGCCGUGGCAGUGGGCAGAGGAAGGGUCUCCAGGAAGAGGCCAGGACCAAGGUCAGGCUCCAAACGACCAAGAGCCGGGUGGGGAACGGUCCCCAGAGGGCCUGCCCGUCCCCCCACAGGACAGCUCUGCUUUUCUCUCAAACCAGGACCCCCAGAACCCAGGUUUAAGCAGCUGUCCCCUUUGGGCUCCAGUACCCCCUCUGUGGCCAUCUGUGGGGCAGGUCCUGGGGACCGAGGGGUCACCUGGCCCCUGCCGGUGGGGAAGCACUGUCUCUGGGGGAGGCAGCCGGCAUUGGCCUCCAGAGGGGACGGAAAAGAAACCCCCCCUGUCCCCAUAGCUCCAACCCUGUGUCAGGGAGCAGCUGAGCGGGGGGCGCAGUCCCCAGACUCGGGUCCCUCCGCCCGCCUAGCUUACAAGGCAGUCAUGAUAAAACAGGGCCUGUUCCGUCAGCAGCACAAUGGCCCGCGGAGACUGAGGGGGUGGCUUCACGUCACCCCCGUGCUGGUUCCCAGGCACAGUGUUCCCUGGGGACCCAGCCCGGGGGUGCGGGCGGCCCAGGUUCAAGGGCACACGUCCCACAGGAGGCGGAGCCCAGCUGGCCCUUUAAGAAGGCCGGGGGCCGCUGCUGGCACAGCGCACAGCUGGCCCAGCGCAGAGACGGCACGUUCCUGAUCCUUCUGGAAGGCUGAGUUGGAAAGGAGACAAAGUGUCCUUGCUCAGCUCAGUAAACAAGCCUGAAGUGUUUUGAAAGCCUCUGCCGAUGUAAAUGACUGUGAAAUAAAUG
rnacentral:lncRNA from 1 species